CUUUAUUGGAGAGUUUGAUCCUGGCUCAGGAUGAACGCUGGCGGCGUGCCUAAUACAUGCAAGUCGAGCGAAUGGAUUGAGAGCUUGCUGGGUAACCUGCCCAUAAGACUGGGAUAACUCCGGGAAACCGGGGCUAAUACCGGAUAACAUUU
rnacentral:rRNA from 1 species